AUUGAACGCUGGCGGCAUGCCUUACACAUGCAAGUCGAACGGCAGCACGGGAGCAAUCCUGGUGGCGAGUGGCGAACGGGUGAGUAAAGUAUCGGAACGUGCCCAGUCGUGGGGGAUAACGUAGCGAAAGUUACGCUAAUACCGCAUACGAUCUAUGGAUGAAAGCGGGGGAUCGCAAGACCUCGCGCGAUUGGAGCGGCCGAUAUCAGAUUAGGUAGUUGGUGGGGUAAAGGCUCACCAAGCCGACGAUCUGUAGCUGGUCUGAGAGGACGACCAGCCACGCUGGGAUUGAGACACGGCCCAGACUCCUACGGGAGGGAGCAGUGGGGAAUUUUGGACAAUGGGCGAAAGCCUGAUCCAGCCAUGCCGCGUGCAGGAUGAAGGCCUUCGGGUUGUAAACUGCUUUUGUACGGAACGAAAAGGUUUGGCCUAAUAAGCUGAGCUCAUGACGGUACCGUAAGAAUAAGCACCGGCUAACUACGUGCCAGCCGCCGCCGUAA
rnacentral:rRNA from 1 species